CCCAGCUACUCGGGAGGUCGAAGCAGGAGGAUCGCUUGAGCCCGGGAGGCAGAGGUUGCAGUGAGCCAAGAUCAUGCCACCGCACUCCAGCCUGGGCGGCACAGUGAGACUUCAUCUCAAAAGAAAAAAAAAUUAUAAAAAAUAAUAUGGUUUAUAAAUCAGGCAGCUAUGUAAAUCACAAUCCCUGUUGAGAGGCUGCAUUAUGGCAGUAGCGGUGGGAAUGGAUUCAGAGUCUAUAGGUGGUAGAACCGGUAGGACUUCUUGACUAAUUUAGAUGGCAAGGAAAAGAGGAAUGCAGGAUGCUUCUAGAUCUCGUGGACAACCAGAUGAAUAAUCUCAUUUCCCCAGAGAGUGAAUUCAGAAGGGCAGAAACUCAGUUUUGUGAGUUCUGUUUUGCAUUUUACAUGCCUAUCGAAUAUCCAAGUGGAACUGUGGGUCUAGAUGGAGCUCGAGAGAUAACUAUGAGCUGGAGAUAAAUAUUUGGGAGUUGCCACUUUAUGUAGUGGUAAUUGAGAGCAUAAGAAAUGGAGAGAAUGCAGGGUGAAAAUGUCAUCUUGGGGCAGAUGCAGGACAAGAGCUUGUGAAAGGAAUGGCCAAGAGGAAUAGGUGGACAACCAGAGGAGUGGGAGCUCACAGGAGCCUUGAGUGGAGUUUCAGAAACCCAGAUUUCACACAGAAACAUCAACAAAUCAACUUCGCGUCUCGAGGUGAUGGUAUUUAAACUGUGUUCUAUUGAGACCCUUCAUUAAUAUUUGGUUUUGAAAUAUAUUUUAACAUAAGUUAAAAAUAGCAAACUCAAAUAUGGUGUUUCUAACAUUUUAAAACUGAAAUCCAGCAAACAUCAGUGCCACGUUAACUGUUUUUUUGUGCAGGUGCCAGAAUAAGGCCAUUUCUGGUAAAUUGAAGAGCUUCCUGGUAUUUCAAGAGAGAGCCUCUCUGUUAUUUAGGGUGACAUAAAUAGCGUCUGGAAGCAGGACCUGAAGUAGGAUCAGUUUUGGACAGAGCUGGCAAUUCUUGGUACCAGUAUGCAGCACUUACAGGAGCCCUUUGAGCUCUCCACUUUCACGGCUCGCCUCUUCUGCCCUGGUGAGUCUUCUCUCAGGCUGAGCCUCCCUCUUUUUGGUAGAGGCUUUAAAAAUUUUUUUAGGAUCACUUUGGUUGUAAGCCUGCCUUAAUAAAAGACCUUA
rnacentral:lncRNA from 10 species